CGAGCCCCCCGAGUCCCGUCGAGUCCCCCGAACCGCGGUCGCUGCGGCAGCUCUGCUCCUGAUCUUUCUGCGCGAGCAGCGCCGGGCGCUGGGCGAGAAGCUUCGUGUUCUCCCUCGUUGCAAGCGGGCAGCUGGGAGCCACCGGUCCCGGAGGAAUAUGCGGCGCGCUUGGAUCCUGCUCACCUGGGUCUUGGUGGCCUGCGUGUCCGCCGAGUCGCGGGCAGAGCUGACAUCUGAUAAAGACAUGUACCUCGACAACAGCUCCAUUGAAGAAGCUUCAGGAGUAUAUCCUAUUGACGAUGAUGACUAUGCUUCUGCAUCAGGCUCGGGAGCUGAUGAGGAUGGAGAGAGUCCAGAGCUGACCACGUCUCGGCCCAUUCCAAAGAUACCAUUCACUAGUACUGCUCCGAGAGUGGAAACCACAACACUGAGCAAGAUACAGGACAAGAUCCCUGCUCAGACAAAGUCACCUGAAGAAAUUGAUAAGGAAAAAGUUCACCUCCCUGACUCAGAAAGGAAAAUGGACCCAGCUGAAGAGGAUACAAAUGUAUAUACUGAGAAGCACUCAGACAAUCUGUUUAAACGAACAGAAGUCCUGGCAGCUGUCAUUGCUGGCGGAGUUAUCGGCUUUCUCUUUGCAAUUUUCCUUAUCCUGCUGUUGGUGUAUCGCAUGAGAAAGAAGGAUGAAGGAAGUUAUGAUCUUGGAGAACGCAAACCAUCCAGUGCUGCUUAUCAGAAGGCACCUACUAAGGAGUUUUAUGCGUGAAAACUCCCAUUUAGUGUCUCUAUUUAUGAGAUCACUGAACUUUUAAAAAUAAAGCUUUUGCAUAGAAUAAUGAAGAUCUUUGUUUUUUGUUUGUUUGUUUUUUUCAUUAAAGAGCCAUUCUGGCACUUUAAUGAUAAAAAUCCCAUUGUAUUUAAAUCUUUUCAUGUAUUUCUUUAGAACAACAUAAAAUUCAAACUUAACAUCUGCAGUGUUCUGUGAAUAGCAGUGGCAAAAUAUUAUGUUAUAAAAACGCUCAAUGUACAUGGAAUCAG
rnacentral:lncRNA from 1 species